UAAAAGUCGUAACAAGGUUUCCGUAGGUGAACCUGCGGAAGGAUCAUUACCGAGAGAGGGUCCUUCGGGCCCGAACCUCCAACCCUUUGUGUACCUUACCUUUGUUGCUUCGGCGGGCCCGCUGGGGCGACUCACCGCCGGUGAUGAGCCGGUGAGCGCCCGCCGGAGGCCCUCAAAACUCCGUGUGUUAGUGUCGUCUGAGUACCACACAAUAGUUAAAAACUUUCAACAACGGAUCUCUUGGUUCUGGCAUCGAUGAAGAACGCAGCGAAAUGCGAUAAGUAAUGUGAAUUGCAGAAUUCAGUGAAUCAUCGAAUCUUUGAACGCACAUUGCGCCCCCUGGUAUUCCGGGGGGCAUGCCUGUUCGAGCGUCAUUACACCUCUCAAGCCCUGCUUGGUAUUGGGCCGUCGUCCCCCGGGACGGGCCUGAAAGUGAGUGGCGGUGCAGCCUGACUUCGAGCGCAGUAACUUAAAAACCCGCUUCGGAAGCCUUCAGGCUGGGCCGGCCAGACAACCCAACCGUAUUUCCUAUGGUUGACCUCGGAUCAGGUAGGGAUACCCGCUGAACUUAAGCAUAUCAU
rnacentral:rRNA from 1 species